rnacentral:rRNA from 1 species
UACGAAGGGGGCUAGCGUUGUUCGGAAUUACUGGGACGUAAAGCGCACGUAGGCGGAUCGAUCAGUCAGGGGUGAAAUCCCAGGGCUCAACCCUGGAACUGCCUUUGAUACUGUCGAUCUGGAGUAUGGAAGAGGUGAGUGGAAUUCCGAGUGUAGAGGUGAAAUUCGUAGAUAUUCGGAGGAACACCAGUGGCGAAGGCGGCUCACUGGUCCAUUACUGACGCUGAGGUGCGAAAGCGUGGGGAGCAAACAGG